UACGGAGGGUGCAAGCGUUAUCCGGAUUCACUGGGUUUAAAGGGUGCGUAGGUGGGUCUGUAAGUCAGUGGUGAAAUCCCCGAGCUUAACUUGGGAACUGCCGUUGAUACUAUAGAUCUUGAAUAUCGUGGAGGUAAGCGGAAUAUGUCAUGUAGCGGUGAAAUGCUUAGAUAUGACAUAGAACACCAAUUGCGAAGGCAGCUUACUACACGAUCAUUGACACUGAGGCACGAAAGCGUGGGGAGCAAAUAGG
rnacentral:rRNA from 1 species